rnacentral:rRNA from 1 species
CGUGGGGAACCUGCCCCAUAGUCUGGGAUACCACUUGGAAACAGGUGCUAAUACCGGAUAAGAAAGCGGAUCGCAUGAUCAGCUUUUAAAAGGCGGCGUAAGCUGUCGCUAUGGGAUGGCCCCGCGGUGCAUUAGCUAGUUGGUGAGGUAAAGGCUUACCAAGGCGAUGAUGCAUAGCCGAGUUGAGAGACUGAUCGGCCACAUUGGGACUGAGACACGGCCCAAACUCCUACGGGAGGCAGCAGGC